AUACUUGCCUGGCAGGGGAGAUGCCAUGAUCACAAAUGUGGUUUUCCCAGGGUGAAGCUCACCAUUGCACUCCAGAGGUGCAGACCCCUGUGUUUUCCCCAAAUGGAAAAAAAAGAAAGAAAGAA
rnacentral:snRNA from 1 species